AUGGAGGAGGAGCCAGGGCGCGACCCGGCCGGAGCUCGGGGAGCCCGCGCCAUGGCCUCGCCCGACGCCGUGAGCUUCUGCUGCCACACCUGCGCCGCCCGGCUGGAGCUCCCCGCCCCGUCCUCCCCCUUCCACUUCACCCUCUGCCCCCGUUGCCGCCGGGACUACCUCGACGACUCCCCCGCGCUGCCGCCGCCUCCACCGCCCCUGUGCGCCCUACCCUGGCCGCCUGCUCCGUUCACCUCUUCCACGCCACCGCCGGCCCCGUGCGUCUCGUCGUCGUGGUCUUCCUUCACGACGGCGCGGCCGCGGACUCCGGUGUCCCCGCGCACAGGACCCUCGUUUUCCUCCACAGGACCACCGCCUGCGACGUCGAGCGGCAGCGCCGCCUCGCCGACCGCUCCCGUGCCGUCCUCCUACUGCCCCGAGCGCUCAGCGGCAUGUCGGGAAUUCCGGCUCCUUUGCGAGCAGCGCCGGUCCUCGCCCGCCGUCUCUCCCCUGUCGUCCCCGUACUCCACCGCCUGCUCCUCCCCUCUGCUGGCGUCGCCGCCUCCCCCGCCCCCGCCGCCGUUCCACCACGGCGACGGCGAUCUACUAUCCGAGUCGUUUCCUUUGACCCUGCGCUCCUCCACCGCCGAGGAGGCCACGUCACCGCCUCAUGAUCUGCUUCCUCCUCCGCCUCCGCCUUGGCUGCCGCUGGCGUCCGCUGGUACAUGGGAUGAAUUCCUAUUCAACCACUCCGACUCCGAUGAUGACAGCCCGCCACAGCCUCCUCCGCCGCCGCCGCAUGUCUCUACCUACCAUGCCAUGCUCGACGUGCCGCUCCAAGUCCAACGCGGCGGGCCACAAGCGGCGGCGGCGUCUAUGGCCGCCAACGACAGCGUGUUCGAGUUCGACACGCCUCUCCAACGCGGCGGGUCACAGGCGGCGCCGCCGGAGUCCAUCGCCGCCCUGCCCACCGUCGCCGUCACGGAGGCCGGGCUGGACUGCGUCGUCUGCACCGACCCCCUCCCGCCGUCGGCGCCCGCGCUCCGGCUCCCCUGCGGCCACCUGUACCACUCCCACUGCAUCGUGAGGUGGCUGUCCGAGCAGAACUCCUGCCCAAUCUGCCGAGGCAGCAUCCCGACGAUCGUCUCCGCCACAAGCGACAUCGCGUCGUCGUCGUCGUCGUCAUCGUCGCAGCCCCCCGGCGGGAGGCGAAGGCGAUCUCUGCCGGUGCCGGGGGGGCGCCGGAUCAGAAGGAUCUGCAGCCGGCUGCUUCGAAACAUGGAAAUCGGCCGCGAUCGUCAGACGAGCAGCAGCCGCGAUCGCCAGACAAACAGCAGCGGCGGCGAUGUGCGUGUGUGA
rnacentral:rRNA from 1 species